GAUAUUUCUCUUCUUUUUUUCUUUUUUUUUGUAAGUUUCUUCUCCAUGCGAUUGUACACAAGUCAUUUUCCAUUCUCAUAAUAACAAAAUGAUGAAUAAAGAUUACUUUAAAUGUUUUAAAAUAAAAACAAACAAAAAGGAAACUAGAAAUAAAUGGCUUGAAAUCAUAAGUCUACCACAAGAAAAAGAUAUGUAUAUUUACGAUCCGAAAUAAAAUAAAAACAGUUCGAAAUGAGCAAUAAACAAAUCAAAACAAAACUUGAGGAUAAUGUCAGGAUAGUUGAGGUAACGUGUUGUAGACAGAUCUGGGGUCCGUCUAGUUUCUGGAAACCACACACACACACAGAUAUAUAUAUGUAUAGAUACAUAUAUAUAUAUAUAUAUACACAUAUAUACACACACAUGCAUACAUAUAUAUAUAUAUAUACACAUGUAAACAUACAUACACACACGCACACAUAUAUACAAAUGUAAACAUACAUACACACACACAUAUAUACAAAUGUAAACAUACAUACACACAUAUAUACAUAUAUAUACACACACGCAUACAUAUAUACAUGUUAACAUAUAUGUACAUAUAUAUAUAUAUAUAUACACAAACACACACACACACACACACACAGUCCGUCAAGUUUCUGGAAACCCCAUAUCGGGUUCUACUGUGCAACCGGAGGGUUAAAGCAUUGUGUGAGGGGGCUUCUGACUGCUAAGGUACCAAAGAUUAACAAUGUGAACACUUGAGUCUUUCAAGAUAAACGUCAAGUUAUUGCUCAGGGUGGGGUUGGGGUAAGGGGUGCGUGUCGUCGGUCAAGGGCCAAUCAAUUGUCUCCUCUCAUUAGUGGUCAAGGACCAUUUGAAGCCUUAAAAAAAAGAAGCCAAUUAGACGUGAAGUAAGAAAGAGGGCGAUCAGCGAUGUAAGCAGAA